UGCAUCGAAAGCGGCGGGGUUUUCUCGAAUCCAGCGAAUGUCGUGCAUGGGCAGCUUCCGGUCAUGGCCGCUUUUCCGGCCAUCUGCGUCAAAAUCUGGGUGGGUUAGAACAAGCCACGCAGUGCCGGGUCAAGCCCGGAAACCGCGAAUCGAAGGGCAUUGCAGCAAUGAUAGCUGAACAACUGGCACAGGCGGUCAUCCCGCGUACCAGACCGAAACGACCGAAAGACCGUCAU
rnacentral:misc_RNA from 1 species